GACGAACGCUGGCGGCGUGCUUAACACAUGCAAGUCGAACGGAAAGGCCCUGCGUUUGUUGGGUUCUCGAGUGGCGAACGCGUGAGUAACACGUGAGUAACCUGCCCUUGACUUUGGGAUAACUUCAGGAAACUGGGGCUAAUACCGGAUAGGAGCUCCUGCUGCAUGGUGGUGGUUGGAAAGUUUCGGCGGUUGGGGAUGGACUCGCGGCUUAUCCGCUUGUUUGUGGGGUAGUGGCUUACCAAGGCUUUGACGGGUAGCCGGCCUGAGAGGUUGACCGGCCACCUUGGGACUGAGAUACGGACCAGAAUCCUACGGGAGGCAGCAGUGGAGAAUAUUGCACAAUGGGGGGAAGCCUGAUGCAGAAACGCCGGGUGCGGGAUGACGGGCUUCGGGUUGUAAACCGCUUUCGACUGUGACGAAGCGUGAGUGACGGUAAUGGGUAAAGAAGCACCGGCUAACUACGUG
rnacentral:rRNA from 1 species